CGACUCUGAAUUAAAUAAAUAAUCUCAUUUCGAAUAAUGUCACUUUAAUUGGAAAAAACUCCUCUAUUCUUCGAAAAAAUAAGGUGUGACAAGUUCGUAAUGAGUAUGAUGAAAGAGCUAACAUUCUUUUUUGGACUCCAAAUUCAUCAAUCAGAAAGUGCGAAAUUCAUCUGCCAAGCCAAAUAUACGAAGGAAUUGAUUCAAAAGUUUGGAAUGAGCAAUGCCAAAUCAAUUGGAACUCCUAUGAGCCCCUCUACAAGUUUAGACAAGGAUGAACAAGAAAAAUCAGUAUAUGAUACAAAGUAUCGUGGAAUGAUUGAAUCUCUAUUAUAUAUAACUACUAGUAGACCAUAUAUCAUGUUCAGUAUUUGUAAAUGUGCCAGAUUUCAGUCAGUUCCUAAGGAGUCACACUUAACUACAGUAAAGCGAAUAAUUGGCUAUCUCAUUGGGACCACUUCUUAUGGACUUUGGUAUCCAUGCUCUAACAAUUUUAAACUUGAGGGAUUUUCAGAUGCUGAUCUUGCAGGUAACAAGGAAGAUAGAAAAAGCACAAGUGGCACUUGUCAAUUACUGGAUAAGGCAUUAAUCUCCCGAAACAGUAAGAAAUAGGGAUCAAUAGCUCUUUCACAACUGAAGCAGAGUACAUUAUAAUUGGACAAUAUUGUGCUUAAUUACUAUGGAUGUCACAUCAAUUGGGUGACUAUGAAUUAUCUUUUAAACCUGUUCAAAUAUUCUGUGAUAAUUCUAGUGCUAUUUGUCGGUCUAAAAAUCCUGUGCAUCAUUUUAGAGCUAAGCAUAUAGAUAUUAAACAUCAUUUUAUUAGAGAUCGUGUUCUUAAAGGUAACAUAGAGUUAUCAAUUGUAAGCUCUACUGAUCAAUUAACAGAUAUUUUUACAAAACCCUUGCUUGAAAACAGAUUAUGUACAUUACGAGACUCUUUUGGCAUUAUUUCCAUUAAUUCAUAAUUUUAAGGCCUUUGUGAUAUUUUUUAUUUUUACCGUCACUCAAUCUGUAUAUUUCCUUAUGUGUGUAGGGCAUUAAUUGUGUGUCUUUUACUUUUCCUUUUUCACACAUUUUCAUGCCUUUUCAGAAAUCAAUAAAUCAUAGCGUCGAAUUACUGACGCCUUUUCGUCUGUACUCAACCGCCAGUUAUCAUCUUUUUAAAUCCAAGUCUCAUCAAUCAUUCUCACAUUAUUUGUAUCUCCAUUCCUCUUCUCCAAACCCUACUAUGGCGAAAAAUUACAAAAAUCCCUCUGCUUCAACCUGCAAAAGCACUCGUUCUAGAGCAAAACCCUCCUCUCAAUCUCUUAAACCAGUUAAUCUAGGAUCAGACCAUUCUGAGGAUUUUGCCUCUUCUCAAGACCUCUCAGAUGAUGCGUGCAGUCUCAACGAAAAAGUCCUUGGAAAACGACCCAUGGAAUAUCCGCAAAAGCACUUAUUCUAGAGCAAAACCCUCCUCUCAACCUUCUAAGCCAGUUAAUCUAGGAUCAGACCACUCUGAGGAUUUUGCCUCUUCUCAAGACCUCUCAGAUGGUGCAUGCAGUCUCAACAAAAAAACCCUAGGAAAACGACCCAUGGAAGAUUCCCCUGAAACCUUCACUCCCAAAAAUCCUAAAACUGAUAUGUGAAGUUCUCUCGAGUCUGACCUAAAUUUUUGGGACACACGCAACAAGGAUGACUUCAUUGCUUUCAAAGACAAGCAUGUAGCCCAUGGAUGGAAAAACUUUCUCUGCUUGCCUCCUCCAGAGGUAUAUGAACCCCUUGUUAAACUGUUCUAUGCUAAUCUUCGCUUUAGCAAACCUGACAAGUUAGAAACCUUAGUUCUUGGCAAACGCAUUGUGUUGGACUGUGCUCUGUUUGACCCUAUUUUUCAGUGUAGUUGUUCUGGUUUCUCUAUGAUUUUUAAGAAUACCUAGCCUGAGGAUUUUAAAAUUUCUUUUGAUCAAGCAAAAAGGUGUAUAGCUGAGUCACCCUCUGAUUCCCUUCCCAGUCAACUAGGACCUAGUGAUGUUUGUUUUGAAACUCAUGUCUUAGCACAUAUUGUGGCAACCACUCUUCUUCCAAGAACAUGAUCCUUCUCUACUUUCUCCCUGAUACCUUCCUAAUUUACUAUCUUCUGACUAAACAUAAGGUCAAGUUGUUUUCUUGGGUUAUCAAUUUUAUGAUAGAGAGUGCCGAUGAUCCCACGAGUCUUCCAUAUGGUAUGGUCACCACCCAUCUGCUAGAAGCCAACAACAUAUCUCUUGUCGACUAUCCCUAUAUCACUGUCACCAAGUCUUACAACUCUAGGGGAUUUGCUAGCAUGUGAUAUAUUUCUGUAAAAGGAGCUUGGGUAAAGAAGCAAGAAGGUGAAUCCAAGAAUAUCCCCUCCGACUCAAAAGCGAAAACCUCUGUGUCUCUUCCCAGUAUUGGUAAUCCUGAUCUUUUAGAAAAGAUAGCCUUCAUCAAUGAAAAAUUAACUGUCAUCAAGGACUCUUUAACCUUAAUGCAAAGCACAAUUGAAGAUGUCCAUGGAGUGGUAAAGGAGACAGGCUCUGACGUGUCCAAGAUCCGAGUGCAAAUUCGUAAGAUUGCGGAAAAAAUAGUAAAGACUUUUAAAGAGGUGCACGACAAAAUUGAUGGAAUCUCUGUCAUAGUGAAUGGAAGUUUUGAUCGCCUCAAGGAGGCUAUUUGCAAUACCCAUACUUACUUUCUGCGAUGUUGAUGCAUGGUUGUUUAAGGUAAUUUUUUUUAUUUUGCUUCUUUUGAGACUGACGGUUCAGUCAUAGGUUGUACUAUUAGGACAAUUACUUCUGUUCUGUAUGCUAAAGUAGGUUAUAACUUUUUGUUGAUGCCAAAGAGGGAGAAAAAGCAGGCUUAUGGGCACGUGUUCCUCUGUAUUCCCUAUUCAAUGUGGUUGUUUUGUAAAUUUUCUUGCAGAUGUUUAACUUGCAGGUACAUCAUACAGUAUAAUACUGAGGGGGAGUCGACUACAACCACUGCAUAAUAGAAUGUCCAGCUGAAAGGGAGUCGACUAGACACAUCUAACAAGAAACACAGUUUGAGGGGGAGUUGACUACAACACACUCAAAGUCAACUGAUAAACAUGGAAAAACAAUCCUUAAGCAAUGGAAAAGGGACAUAGAAGAAUUCAGACGAAAAAGGAAGGAGUAGCGAAAAAUCAAAGGCAAAAUCAAUCAAGGAUUUGGUAUGAGAUCAAGGAGGGUAUUAUAGGAAGGACUUCAAUCAAAGGAGAUCAAGGGCAUGAAAUUAUGCACUGAAGAUUCCUCCAUAUAAGGACGUCAAUCAAGGUAGAAAUCAAGGGAUUUGAUUUGAUAUUUCCAAUAACAGAAAUAUCCACUCAACAAAGGAAGAAAUAAACAAGACCACAAGUCAAGAAAAAUCAACAGAAGAAAUAUUCUACACUUGGAAAGAAUGAAUCUACGAUUCCUUCUCAGAUCAACUCCCUUGGGUUUGCAAUUGCUCAAGACUCACAAGACAUGAAGGCCUCAUAAAGUAUAAAUACCCAUUGCACCAGCUUUGAAGAAAUAUACUUUGAACGAAUCACUAUCACUCUUUUUGUUCUACUCCAAACAAAUAUUGUAAUUUACGUUAGAUCUGUUGUGUAAUUAGUGAGUAGAAAAAGAAAAAAAUACUAGUGAGGCAUUGUAUCAAGAAGCGAGAAGUGAGAUAGUAACUAAGCUGUUGGUGUAAAGCUAUAUCAACUCUCUUGUAUCGAGAAACUUCAAAUACUGAAAGAAAGAAUAGGAUUCACAUUGAAUCCGAACCAGUAUAAAAAUCCAGGUGUCUUUAAUUCCUGUA